AGUAACACGUAUCCAACCUGCCGUCUACUCUUGGACAGCCUUCUGAAGGAAGAUUAAUACAAGAUGGCAUCAUGAGUCCGCAUGUUCACAUGAUUAAAGGUAUUCCGGUAGACGAUGGGGAUGCGCUCCAUUAGAUAGUAGGCGGGGUAACGGCCCACCUAGUCUUCGAUGGGUAGGGGGUUCUGAGAGGAAGGUCCCCCACAUUGGAACUGAGACACGGUCCAAACUCCUACGGGAGGCAGCAUG
rnacentral:rRNA from 1 species